UGGCGGACGGGUGAGUAACGCGUGGGCAACCUGCCUUACACCGGGGGAUAACACUUAGAAAUAGGUGCUAAUACCGCAUAACAGGAGAACAUGCAUGUGUUUUCCUUGAAAACCACGGUGGUGUAAGAUGGACCCGCGUCUGAUUAGCUUGUUGGCAGGGUAACGGCCUACCAAGGCGACGAUCAGUAGCCGGCCUGAGAGGGUGGACGGCCACAUUGGGACUGAGACACGGCCCAGACUCCUACGGGAGGCAGCAG
rnacentral:rRNA from 1 species